rnacentral:rRNA from 1 species
GACCUCAAAUCAGGUAGGAACACCCGCUGAACUUAAGCAUAUCAAUAAGCGGAGGAAAAGAAAAUAACAAUGAUUCCCCUAGUAACUGCGAGUGAAGAGGGACAAGCUCAAAUUUUAAAUCUAUCGGGUUUUACCCGAUCGAGUUGUAAUUUGAAGAAGCGUUUUCUGCGUUUUUGAUCAGCCCAAGUCCUAUUGAAUGAGGCAUCAUGGAGGGUGAUAAUCCCGUCCGGUUGAUCAUUUGCGUUUUACGAUACGCUCUCUAAGAGUCAAGUUGUUUGGGAUUGCAGCUUAAAAUGGGAGGUAAAUUUCUCCUAAGGCUAAAUAACGGCGAGAGACCGAUAGCGAACAAGUACCGUGAGGGAAAGAUGAAAAGAACUUUGAAAAGAGAGUUAAACAGUACGUGAAAUUGUUGAAAGGGAAACGAUUGAAGCCAGUCGUACCUUCGGGUAAUCAGCCUUUCGGGUGCGAUUCUGUGGAGUGUGAGGAGCUUAACACCUUCAUGCUUUGCAUAUUUGUGCUCUUGGGUGUACUUGCCCGUGUGGUUGGUUAACAUCAAUUUUGAUUAUCAUAAAAUGACUGGAGGAAUGUAGCUUCGAUCUCGUAUUGAAGUGUUAUAGCCUUCGGUAGAUGUGAUGAUCGAGAUUGAGGAUUGCAACGGAUACCCUUCGGGGCUACCUGUCUGGUCUCUGAUCGUUGCUCUGGUGCCGAAAGCGUGCUUACGGUUAUCAAAGUCGAUGGUCAAUAGGUUAGAACGGGUUAAAUUCGUUAAGGAUGUUGACGUAAUGGCUUUAAACGACCCGUCUUGAAACACGGACCAAGGAGUCUAACAUAUAUGCGAGUGUUA